rnacentral:rRNA from 1 species
GCCAGCAGCCGCGGUAAUACGUAGGGGGCAAGCGUUGUCCGGAAUUAUUGGGCGUAAAGCGCGCGCAGGCGGUCCUUUAAGUCUGAUGUGAAAGCCCACGGCUUAACCGUGGAGGGUCAUUGGAAACUGGAGGACUUGAGUACAGAAGAGGAGAGUGGAAUUCCACGUGUAGCGGUGAAAUGCGUAGAGAUGUGGAGGAACACCAGUGGCGAAGGCGACUCUCUGGUCUGUAACUGACGCUGAGGCGCGAAAGCGUGGGGAGCGAACAGGAUUAGAUACCCCGGUAGUCCACGCCGUAAACGAUGAGUGCUAGGUGUUAGGGGGUUUCCGCCCCUUAGUGCUGAAGUUAACGCAUUAAGCACUCCGCCUGGGGAGUACGGCCGCAAGGCUGAAACUCAAAAGAAUUGACGGGGGCCCGCACAAGCGGUGGAGCAUGUGGUUUAAUUCGAAGCAACGCGAAGAACCUUACCAGGUCUUGACAUCCUCUGACAACUCUAGAGAUAGAGCUUUCCCUUCGGGGACAGAGUGACAGGUGGUGCAUGGUUGUCGUCAGCUCGUGUCGUGAGAUGUUGGGUUAAGUCCCGCAACGAGCGCAACCCU